rnacentral:rRNA from 1 species
CCUACGGGAGGCAGCAGUGGGGAAUAUUGGACAAUGGGGGAAACCCUGAUCCAGCGACGCCGCGUGAGUGAAGAAGUAUUUCGGUACGUAAAGCUCUAUCAGCAGGAAAGAAAAUGACGGUACCUGACUAAGAAGCCCCGGCUAACUACGUGCCAGCAGCCGCGGUAAUACGUAGGGGGCAAGCGUUAUCCGGAUUUACUGGGUGUAAAGGGAGCGUAGACGGCAGCGCAAGUCUGGAGUGAAAUGCCGGGGCUUAACCCCGGAACUGCUUUGGAAACUGUGCGGCUGGAGUGCAGGAGGGGUAAGCGGAAUUCCUAGUGUAGCGGUGAAAUGCGUAGAUAUUAGGAGGAACACCGGUGGCGAAGGCGGCUUACUGGACUGUAACUGACGUUGAGGCUCGAAAGCGUGGGGAGCAAACAGGAUUAGAUACCCCGGUAGUC